GAGGCAGUCCAGCCGCAGGGGCCACCCGAACAGUCUCUCCUCCUCACAGAAGCCUGGAGCUGGGCAUCCAAGAAGAAGCAGCCUCAUUUGUUUUCUGGUGUCAUCGUAGGUGGCCACCUAUGGCUUUUGGGCUUCUCACCUGGGGCGGGUGGGUUCUGCACCACCCUCCCACCCUCCUUCCUCCGUGUGGACGAUAGAGCCACAUCCAGCACCACGGACAGCUCCCGGGCGCCUUCAUCUCCUCGUCCUCCAGGCAGCACAAGCCAUUGUGGAAUCUCCACCAGGUGUACAGAACGGUGCCUCUGCGUCCUGCCACUCAGGACCUCUCAAGUCCCCGAUGUGAUGGCUCCUCAGCAUGAUCAGGAACCAAAAAGAAGAAUGUACUUCAUCUGGUUGGGCUGGAUUCCCUCUGAUAAGCCUUCCCAGUUGACUGAAAGAUGAGGCUAGGCUCUAGCAAGUUGAAGUCAAACCAGCUCCUUCAAGAAGCUUUGAGCAGAAUGAAGUGGGGAGGACCCAGCUUCCAGCCCAGGAAGCCCACUGUACCUGGAGCCAUCUGGGAUAAGACUUUGACCCAUGACUCCCAUAUCCACAGCCUGUCCAUCCUAGCCCAUCCCAGUUUAUCCUGUAUCAUUUGAGCUGGGAUUCCCACAUCCUCUGAGUUGGAAGUCCCAUCUCAAGUCUUCAAUAAAGACUCUUGAAUAUUGAAUCACAUUAA
rnacentral:lncRNA from 1 species